rfam:Drosophila ananassae strain TSC#14024-0371.13 Ctg01_18762, whole genome shotgun sequence.
GGCAAGCGCACUCUGUGUCACACAGACAGCCACUUGUGAUUACAAUUUGUAAGUUUGCCAGAUCAAGGGGAUGCGUCUUAUCCAUGUGGUCCAUUCCCCCAAAGGGUGACUGCAUUGAAAACACAUCUUACAUCAC